CCUACGGGAGGCAGCAGUGAGGAAUAUUGGUCAAUGGGCGCGAGCCUGAACCAGCCAAGUCGCGUGAGGGAAGACGGUCCUAUGGAUUGUAAACCUCUUUUGUCGGGGAGCAAAAGACGCCACGCGUGGCGUUUCGAGAGUACCCGAAGAAAAAGGAUCGGCUAACUCCGUGCCAGCAGCCGCGGUAAGACGGGGGAUGCGAGCGUUAUCCGGAUUUCUUGGGUUUAAGGGGUGCGCAGGGGGAAGAUCAAGUCAGCGGGAAAAUUGAGAGGCUCAACCUCAUCGAGCCGUUGAAACUGGUUUUCUUGAGUGAGGGAGAGGUAGGCGGAAUGCGUGGUGUAGCGGUGAAAUGCAUAGAUAUCGCGCAGAACUCCGAUUGCGAAGGCAGCAUACCGGCGCUCAACUGACGCUCAUGCACGAAAGUGUGGGUAUCGAACAGGAUUAGAUACCCCAGUAGUC
rnacentral:rRNA from 1 species